CUGCUAAUCAUCUCAUCAUCGAACGAACAAGGCGCCAAUUUCCAAAUCCCUAAUCAUCGCUGCAUCAUCGGAUCUCCUUUCAACUGGGUUCCAUAUGCUCGCCUGGCGUUCGAUUCAUCGGAGACUGCGACGUGGAGGUCGAGCCAGUGUCGCCGUCUCAGAUUCCAGACGGGACCUUGGACCAGGUGUUUCGACAGCCCUGUUCUCUCCAUUCGAGCAAUUUUAUUAGAAGCGUCCUGAUGAAUCACGUAGAAGAGUUCUCUGCUCCUGAAGAUUUUUCCCGGCGGGAACAAAUUUGGCAGCAGAGGGGGGAGUUCUAAAUGCGACAAAAGAGGGCAACCACAAUUAAAGGUUUCCAAAAGGCCACUCUAGGAACAAGUUCUAAAUGUUCCUGUCUCCACUAUUCUGAGUGUGUUGUCAAAAUUCCUUUUUCCGCUUGUAGGUUCACUGGUCAGUGCACCCGGUAUACAUGCAGUGUGUUUUGAUUUGAUGAGUUCAAGGCUGGUAACAUUGUGAAAGCAGACAAGACAUUAGAGCUGUGGAAGAAAGGCGAGAAUGCAACCCAUUAAACUCAUCCUCUGAAGUUCAGAGUUUCCGCGGAGAUCAGACGCAUCUAAGCUCUCUCUUUCACACCUCUCUAUCCCCAAAUUGCAAGUCUGAAUAAUCGCUAAUCUCACCAAGAUAUGUUUCUAUGCGCAAUACAGCAUUGUAAUAUGUUUGUUACUAGUUGUUCUUUACAAGAGUAUAGCCAUUGUUUUGGAAGUUUUUUUUAAAGAAAAGGUUCAGUU